CUUAGCGUCGCUUUCUCGUGAUCUUCAUACGUCGUGUCUUUCAGUCCUUAGGUCUUUCAGGUCAGCAAACACCUUCGAUCUCCUCGAUAAUGGUUUCACUGAUCCAGUUUUAUACAAGAGAAUGGUCGAAUGGCGAGAUCUUUAAAGGCUGAAAGACCGAAAGAACUCCUCUCUGCUUUCAGAACUUCUGCGUCAAUCCAUGGAGCACUAUUAGCCGAUCCAACUUUUAUUUUAGGAACACAAUCGUCUACAGCUGCGAGAAAGAGAUCCAACCACUUGGCGGUUGAAAGUUCCAUGUCAUCUUCCUCAUAGGCUAAAUCCCAAGGUACAAACUUUACGAGAUUUCGUAACUCAGCAAAAUCAGCAUCUUUAUAAUUAUAAACGUA